rnacentral:lncRNA from 1 species
UGAUUCUAAACUCAGUAAUGCUGUCUUAACUACGAUGCUCAAUGAUUAAUGACAGGUGGGGGGUUCUCCUGUGCUUGACCCCUUUCUUCUGAAGCCAUCAAUACGAAGAACCGAACCGAACCGGCCUCUCAACAGCUAACAUAGGGUUUGGAAGCAGCAUUAGAUCCUUUGUAGCAAUCUGGUCUACAGACUUUAACUCAAGCUAAGACUAAACUUGCUACUUUGUUGAAUGAUGUUAGUUGACUGUACUGUAAUGUUGUAUCAACUGAACUGAAUGUUUGCCUUUUCUUUUCCUUUGUUUUUUAAUAGUUAAAGAGGCUUAGAACAAGCUAACAGGCAAUAGAAAUAUGUAUAUCAGAUUUUCUAAUGUAAUGAACUACAUGGUAAUUGUUACUAUAUUCUUUUUAUCUUUAGUAGACACUUUUAAAGAAGAAAAGAUAAUUUUGUUGUGUUUACUUGGUGUAUAAUGAAGACAGAAGUAUAAUAAAUUAGUUUGUUCUGAUUUUUUAGAACACUUGCAAUAAUGUAUCAUUUAUUAGUUCUUGCUAGUUUCCCACCAAUGCAAAGGACAACUACAGCAUAGGUCUGCAUGCUCCCCUUAACAUUCAGAUCCUAAAAUCUGUUGCUUUCUUUUUGUAAAGAAAGACGUAUCCAUUUCAACUAAGACUUCCUGGGCCAGAGAGAUGGCUCAGUGAAGAAAGGUCCCUGCUUCCAAACCUGACCUGAGUUUCAUCUCCAGGCUUCACAUGGUGGAAGAAAAGACAGACUUUGAGUUGUCCUCUCAUGGCAGUCAUGCUUAAUGGUAUGCACACCCAAGUGUAUCCACGCUCGUACACACAUACAAUAAACAAAUUCAUUGCAAGAAGAUAAUGGAUACAUUUUAAUGAACAAGAUUUCUAUAUUUUCAAUUCCACUGAACCAAAGCUGUUAUAGAAAGUGUUCAUACAAAGAAAAAGUGCAACCCAGAUAGGUCUUUAUAUAAAGAAAAAACCCACAUACUAUUAUAACCAAGGCAUAACAAUACAUAGGAUAUAUCACUCUGUCUUUUAUUUGUUUUACAGUAUGACAUUCCCUAAUGAUUCAAAACUUACUAUACUAUCCCAUUUAAUAGCUGCCUAUGUGCUUAUGAGGUAUCAAUCGCUAUGGAGGUGUCUUCUGGAAAAGAUGGUUGCUAGAAAGGAGAUUGAUUUUCUAAGGUCAGCAUUUGUCAUCCAAAUAUUACACACACUUUAUCUCAAUUGAUUGUUUCACGACUGCAUAGGAGCUAUGUCUAUGAAGCUCAAAACAGGAGAAAUUAGGUUCGCAGCAUCCUAUGAAUGUUAGAAAGAGCAGAUUAAAAAGUAUAGGUAGAUGACAAGAGACCUGUCUGAGCAUCUGUAUUGAUAAGACAGAGAAAGAAAAACUGUGUUCCAGGAGGCGGCUGUAUUCCAGGAUGCUUCUGUGGCCACGCUGCUGCAUCAGGAAUCACGGAACUGUAGAAAGGGACUAAGUGGAGACUGGUACC